ACCAAGAUGGCCAAGUGGUUAAAGUGUUUGGACUUAAGUUCUAAUGGACUGAUGUUCUCGUGUGUUCGAACCCCACUCCUGGUA
rnacentral:tRNA from 1 species